CAGUAUGGCCUAAAUACCUUGGAGGCACCAGAUCCUAUCUGAUCAUUGAAGUUAAGCAGGUCAGGUCUGGUUAGCACUUAAAAAGGGGACCACCAAGGCAUGCUGGGGGCUGUAUUCU
rnacentral:rRNA from 1 species